rnacentral:tRNA from 1 species
GUUUCCGUAGUGUAGUGGUUAACACAUCCGCUUAACACGCGGAAGGUCCCCAGUUCGAUCCUGGGAGGAAACA